AUUGAACGCUGGCGGCAUGCUUUACACAUGCAAGUCGAACGGUAACAGGCCGCAAGGUGCUGACGAGUGGCGAACGGGUGAGUAAUGCAUCGGAACGUGCCCAGUCGUGGGGGAUAACGCAGCGAAAGCUGUGCUAAUACCGCAUACGAUCUAUGGAUGAAAGCGGGGGACCGUAAGGCCUCGCGCGAUUGGAGCGGCCGAUGUCAGAUUAGGUAGUUGGUGGGGUAAAGGCCUACCAAGCCGACGAUCUGUAGCUGGUCUGAGAGGACGACCAGCCACGCUGGGACUUGGACACGGCCCAGACUCCUACGGGAGGCAGCAGUGGGGAAUGUUGUACAAUGGGCGCAAGCCUGAUCCAGCAAUGCCGCGUGCAGGAAGAAGGCCUUCGGGUUGUAAACUGCUUUUGUACGGAACGAAACGGUCUGGGUUAAUACCCUGGGCUAAUGACGGUACCGUAAGAAUAAGCACCGGCUAACUACGUGCCAGCCGCCGCAGUAAUAC
rnacentral:rRNA from 1 species